UGAUAAUACACAAGCCUGGUCAAGUUAAUCAGUCAAGUCCACCGAAAAAAGUUAACGAGUUAACACGUUAAGAGUUAAUUUGAAAACCAAACACAGAAGUUUAUACCGUGAGAAUAUCAAAUGGCACUUGACUUUUAAACUCAGAACAUCACAAACAUUAUUAAGUAGGAAACAAAAAUAUUCAUACGAUGGUACCAUGUAUAUUAAGUAUAUCAAAAUAGCGCAUUGCGCAUAGAUUGU